GCAAACUUGGUCAUUUAGAGGAAGUAAAAGUCGUAACAAGGUCUCCGUUGGUGAACCAGCGGAGGGAUCAUUACAGAGCGUAAAAACCUCUCUCAACCCCUUGUUUAUCUAUCUGAACAACCUGUCUGCUUCGGCGGGCGGCCCCAGGGCGGGGCCGCGGUCCGCGUUUCGGCGCGGGCGCCCGCCGGAGGAGACGCCCACAACUCUAUUUAUCUAUACCAUUCUGAGCCUAAAAACAAAAUUGUCAAAACUUUCAACAACGGAUCUCUUGGUUCUGGCAUCGAUGAAGAACGCAGC
rnacentral:misc_RNA from 1 species